rnacentral:rRNA from 1 species
UGGCAAACGGGUGCGUAACGCGUAAGCAACCUGCCCUCUACCGGGGGAUAGCCUGGCGAAAGCCGGGGUAAACCCGCAUGGUUCUUUGGUAUCACCUGGUACUUCAGAUAAACAUUUAUGGGUAGGGGAGGGGCUUGCGUCUGAUUAGUUAGUUGGCGGGUAAGGGCCCACCAAGACGAUGAUCAGUAGGGGUUCUGAGAGGAUUGGCCCCCACAUGGGUACUGAGAUACGGACCCA